CCUUUACAAUGCACGAAAGUGUGAUAAGGGAAUCCCUAGUGCUUAUGGAAACAUAAGCUUUUGGCAAGGGUAGGAACCUUGUCGAAUAAGCAGUGGGUAAGACCGGUGCCAGCCGCCGCGGUAACCCCGGCGCUGCAAGUGGCGAUCAGCAUUACUGGGCCUAAAGCGUUCGUAGCCGGUUUUGUAAAUUCUUUGUGAAAUCGUCAGGCUUAACCUGACGGCGUGCAGAGGAGACUGCAUUACUUGAGAUCGGGAGGCGUUAGAGGUAUUUUGGAGGGAGCGGUAAAAUGCUAUAAUCUCUAAAAGACCACCUGUGGCGAAGGCGUCUAACGAGAACGAUUCUGACGGUGAGGAACGAAGGCCAGGGGAGCAAAAGGG
rnacentral:rRNA from 1 species